ACCGCAUACGUCCUACGGGAGAAAGCAGGGGAGCGCUUCGGGCCUUGCGCUAUCAGAUGAGCCUAGGUCGGAUUAGCUAGUUGGUGAGGUAGAUGGCUCACCAAGGCUACGAUGCGUAACUGGUCUGAGAAGAUGAGCAGUCACACUGGAGGUGAGACACGGUCCACCCUCCUGCGGGAGGCAGCAGUGGGGAAUGUUGGACAAUGGGCGAAAGCCUGAUGCCAGACGGGCCGCGGGUGUGAAGAAGGUCUUCGG
rnacentral:rRNA from 1 species